rnacentral:rRNA from 1 species
UGGGGAAUAUUGGACAAUGGGCGCAAGCCUGAUCCAGCCAUGCUGCGUGAGUGAUGAAGGCCCUAGGGUUGUAAAGCUCUUUCACCGGUGAAGAUAAUGACGGUAACCGGAGAAGAAGCCCCGGCUAACUUCGUGCCAGCAGCCGCGGUAAUACGAAGGGGGCUAGCGUUGUUCGGAUUUACUGGGCGUAAAGCGCACGUAGGCGGACUUUUAAGUCAGGGGUGAAAUCCCGGGGCUCAACCCCGGAACUGCCUUUGAUACUGGAAGUCUUGAGUAUGGUAGAGGUGAGUGGAAUUCCGAGUGUAGAGGUGAAAUUCGUAGAUAUUCGGAGGAACACCAGUGGCGAAGGCGGCUCACUUGACCAUUACUGACGCUGAGGUGCGAAAGCAUGGAGAGCAAGCAGG